rnacentral:tRNA from 1 species
UCCCUGGUGGUCCAGAGGCUAGACUCCACGUUUCCAAAGCAGACGGCCUGGGUUCAAACCCUGGCCAGGGAA